GGGCGUAAGGGUGAGUAGGCGGUAAUAUGUGUCAGAUGUAAAAGGCUAUGGCUUAACCAUAGUUGGCAUUUGAAACUGUAUUACUUGAGUGCAGGAGAGGUAAGUGGAAUUCCUAGUGUAGCGGUGAAAUGCGUAGAUAUUAGGAGGAACACCAGUGGCGAAGGCGACUUACUGGACUGUAACUGACGCUGAGUCACGAAAGCGUGGGUAGCAAACAGGAUUAGAUACCCUGGUAGUCCACGCUGUAAACGAUGAGUGCUAGGUGUUGGGUAGCGAUAUUCAGUGCCGAAGUAAACACAAUAAGCACUCCGCCUGGGGAGUACGGUCGCAAGACUGAAACUCAAAGGAAUUGACGGGGACCCGCACAAGCAGCGGAGCAUGUGGUUUAAUUCGAAGCAACGCGAAGAACCUUACCAAGGUUUGACAUCCCCUUGACAGAUGCAGAGAUGUGUCCUCCCCUUCGGGGGCAAGGGAGACAGGUGGUGCAUGGUUGUCGUCAGCUCGUGUCGUGAGAUGUUGGGUUAAGUCCCGCAACGAGCGCAACCCUUAUCCUUAGUUGCCAGCAGGUUAAGCUGGGCACUCUAAGGAGACUGCCGAUGAUAAAUCGGAGGAAGGUGGGGAUGACGUCAAAUCAUCAUGCCCCUUAUAUCUUGGGCUACACACGUGCUACAAUGGUCGGUACAAAGGGCAGCGAAGGAGUGAUCUGGAGCAAAUCCCAAUAAACCGAUCCCAGUUCGGAUUGUAGGCUGCAACUCGCCUACAUGAAGUCGGAGUUGCUAGUAAUCGC
rnacentral:rRNA from 1 species